GGGGCUGCUAAGGUUUCGACAUUUAGUUCUGGAAGUUUUUAACGUAUUCCUAAUUUAAGGAUAAUCUCAAAUAGUUGCAAAUAAUAUUUUAUCUUUUAAUACUAAACUAGCACUAGCUUAAGUUUUUAGUAUAAUCAGUUAUGGUAUUUUACUCUUUUAACCUUUCUGAGAAAUCUAAAAAAGAGGCGCAUUUGUGCAAAGAAAUUUAGUUAAAUGUUUUCCAUGGUUGUAAAUAAAGAACUUUUUUAGGUCUAAAUGGACGUGGGUUCAACUCCCACCAGCUCCACC
rnacentral:tmRNA from 1 species